GGAAGUUUUCCUGCACAAACUCUUCUCUUGACUGCCACCACGUGAGACAUCCUUUCACCUUCUGCCAUGAUUGUGAGACCUCUCAAGCCACAUGGAACUUUACAGGUUUGUGUGAGGCCCAACUUUCUUCAUCUACUUCAACCAAAACAAUGUAUCAUCUCAGACUGGGUGCAGAAGCAGCUAUGGAACCACAGCUGUUUUCUAUUAAGCCAGACAUUAAAGCAACUUAUAAAAAUGUGAAACGAUGCCACUCUUCUCACUAAUAUUUUCAUUGAAAGUAUCUUAUUUAUAUUAUUAUAUAAAGGGCUUAUUUUAAUAAAGAAAUA
rnacentral:lncRNA from 1 species